GAGAGCAAAUUAUUAUUUAGUAUACAUGGAAGCAUGGAUAUGCAGGACAUUAAUAUUUUAUUUUAUGCAUUGUACUCCAAUAAUUACUUAAAAUAGCCAUUUACUGUACCAUUUUUUAUGGUACUGUAAAUGGUUUUAACUAUGACGUCAUAACUGCUUGUUUAUUUCAGGUGUGGAAACUAGCAACUUUAGGAUGCAAUCCUAUUUUGUUUAUUGGUCGAAAGGAGAAAAGAAAAGAAAAGAAAUGGGUAGCCGACAUUAUUACCCAUCUGCCCCCCACUCCUGUAACUAAGAAUUUAUUGGAAAAGAUGCAAAGAGCAUAUUAAUUUAUUUUAACAAAGACAGAGCAGCGUCCUGAGAGCCUCGCCCGGGAGCGUCCCGAGAGCCUCGCCCGGGAGCAUCCCGAGAGCCAAGUCCAGGAACGUCCCGAAAGCCAAGUCCAGGAACGUCCCGAGAGCCUCGCCCAGGAACGUCCCAAGAGCCGCGCCCAGGAACGUCCCGAGAGCCUCGCCCAGGAACGUCCCGAGAGCCUCGCCCAAGAACGUCCCGAGAGCUGCGUCCAGGAAAGUCCCGAGAGCCACGUCCAGGAAUGUCCCGAAAGCCAAGUCCAGUUACGUCCCGAAAGCCAAGUCCAGGAGUGCCCCGAGAGUGUCGCCCAGGAACGUCCCGAGAGCCUCGCCCAAGAACGUCCCGAAAGCCAAGUCCAGGAGCGCCCCGAGAGCCUUGUCCCAGAGCGCCCAGAGGAGGAGUCUGAAACUUUGUUUAUCCUUAAUCUUGUUCCUGUGUCAUCCCCACUUUCUUCCACUUCUCUCUUUCCUCCUUUUAAACCUUCACACACAUCUUCACCUCCACUUCCAUGCUAUCAGUCUUCACCACAGAGAAAAAGGAAAAACAUCUCUACAUCCUCUUAUCCACCCAGUUCCAUUCCCCAUCGAAAAAAAAGAGUACGUUUUUUUGCAUUGUACUACACACUAUUAAUACAAUUCUAUUAAAUUUAAUUUCAGACAAUAGGAUUCUUUUGGGUUACCAGAUCAUCUAAAGCCAGUAUACAUUUUCUUUGAAAAGAUGCAGGUAGACUCAUCCAGGAGCACCCCGAGAGCCUUGCCAAUGAGAGCCCAAAGAGCCGCGCCCAAUUGCAUCCUGAAAGCCUUGCCCAGAAGCACCCUGAAAGUUUUGCCCAGAAGCGUCCCGAGAGCCUCGUCCAGGAGCAUUCUGAGAGCCUUGCCCAGAAGCACUCUGAAAGUUUUGUCCAGAAGCGUCCCGAGAGCCUCGAUCAGGAGCAUCCUGAGAGCCUUGCCCAUGAGUGCCCACAGAGUCUUGCCCAGAAGCACCCUAAAAGCCUCGCCCAGAAGCACCCUGAAAGCCUCGCCCAGGAGCACCCAGAUAGACAGAGAAAAAGGAGGAUCAAAAGUUCUUCACCUCCUUCCUCUUCCUUCCCCUAUCGAAAGAAUAAAAAGGGUUGUCAAAAAUGCAGCCGACAGAAGGUUUUUUUGUUUGACCGAAUAACUGGGGAACGAAUAAAUGAGGGGAAGGCUGAACUGAAAAUACACUGGUUGCCUUGCUCUUCGUGUGGCAAAUCCUGGGAUGACACAUGGGAGCCUGCCAGAGAAUUCAGACACUACAUGCUUGAUGCCUGAGACAAAUGGAUUGCGAUGCAGCAAAAUUAUUUUUUGUAGUCUCAAUAAAAAUGUUUUACUAAACAUUGUAUACUUAGUAUAUGUAUGUAUGUAUAUAUAUUUACGCUAAGUUCAAAAUAUUUUAACUGACCCCUUGUGUCCAUGGCGACGCGUCAUGAU